UGAAGAUGUCCACCUUUCCUGGUCUUUCUAAGUCUGUAUGAUGUAUGCUAUAAACACUAUCUCAAUUUAGAUUUUUUCCUGUUUAUUUUUUCAGUUCCAUCAAACAAUUUGAUAGCAAGUCGGGACCAAAAGCUGACCAAAUUCGAGGUCUUCAUCUGAAAGCAAAUCUUUUAAGCAUACGAAAUGAAGUCUUCAUUAAAAGAGAUGGGAGAAUUCCUGAAGCCUUGCUGGAUAUACCAAGGGAUUCAGAAGAAGUAGAUUUUGAUCUCCACCCAAGCACAUCUCAAGCCAAGAGAGCUCCUCCAAAAGCAAAUAAGAGAAGGUCGAAUGAAAAAGUCAAACCAAAAGUGAAAUCUCCUCGACUCAAUUCGAGAGACAGAGCUCCAACUCAUGAUAUUUCAGAUGAUGAUGGUGACAUCGAAGAUAAUGAUGGUGGUGGCGACUACUCAGCCAGGACUAAAAAGGUCCAGCAACAAAUGAGGAAGACAAAGUUUUUCGUAGACUUCCAAGAAAAGUAAGGGCAGAAAGCAAUGAUUCAGAAGCUCCAUCAAGUGUUGAGGCAAAGCCAUCUACUUCCUCAGAAUCCAGAUCAAUGGAUAGAUCUCCUGAACCACAGCCUUCCUGUUCAAGAUCAUCAAAACAGAAGAGCUAAAGUCUGAUUUUGGACCUUCAAGUACAUCUGACAUCAAUCACAAUUCGGACUACGAUAAACUAGAUGCCUUAUUCUUCUCUUCAACUAAAGUUUUGAAGUCGCCUAAAAAAUCCAGAAAAAGAGCUUCUCCGUCAAAACAAGAACAAACCAAUACAGAGUUUUCUGAUACUAGAGAAAGCUCAGAUGUUGCCGAUACUCAGGCAAGUAUGGGUGUUUUCGGAGACUUCCGAACUCAACAAUUGGAACUGUUAAAUUCGGUAUUCCUUAAAACUCCUCCAGUAUCAAAACCUCCACCAUCAAAAUUUAAAAGUUUCACUCAGGCAUCGCAGAAGACAAAAACUGUUCGUGAGCGUAUCGAUGGAAAAUUAUCUGAGACAGAUAAAGAAUCUACAAUCAGUCAGGAUUUGGACUCGUUCUUUGAAAGUCAAACCAAGAAACCACCUCCUCGGAAACCAGGAGACUCCAAGAUCUUUUGUUCUCAGCGACCGGAGGAUUUGUUGGACGAUAUUCUUUUCUCCCAGCCUGUCGUGCGAAAAGGUCCUCCAAAGAAGAAGUUCUUCACUCAGUCGGCUGCUCUUUCCGAUGCUGGGUCAUCUUCAAGGCAACCAAUGCAACCACUCAAGAACCAAGCUGUAAAACCGGAUCAAAAUUCUCCGCUUUUUGAUUGAUUUAUAUUUGUAUGUUAAGAAAUAAAUCUGUCAAUCUAGUCAGACUUUUAAGGGGAAAAACACCAUCAUCUUUUCCAACAAUUUUUACCAACUCUUUUAAUUUAAUGUAUGUGCUAGAUUGCAUGAGUUUUUACAUAUCUAAUGGUUUUAUGGGAGGUUUACAGGCAAUUUAUUGAUACCUUUUUUCACUCUAAUUUUAUAAGGUUUUAAUCGGUUGAGAACUAGAUGUUCUGUGCUUGAGUUUUAGGUAUUAAAUAUAUCCGCAGGAUUUGAAGAAUGUACGUUAUUAAAUCAGGAGUCUUCGUAGUUUGUGUGCGCUAUUUUAACCAGAGGAAACUGAUUUACCAAAUUUGAUAAUCUACUCCUAAUUUUUUUUCCUUGUUAUUUAGUCAUUAAUCAAUACUUACCGAAUUUGUUAUUCAAAGGCUAAGGCUCAUGUGCUUUUAUUACCAAUUUUCUAAUUCCAGAAUUCUGUAGGCAUGAUGAAAACAAGAAAAUACAAGUUUCUUUAUUUGAGUGCCUUGCUUGCACUAAUUGUAUCUCGUAUUGACUGGUAACGUACUCAGUUUUUUUUAAUCUCUAACAAAGAUUUUUCUAAUCUCUUAUCAUUUUGGCAAUAUUCGAAAUAAAAAACUCAAUUCUUAUUCUUUUCGAAGACUGGUCCUGUAUUCAGUCCCUUUAAUUUCAUUUAAGAUAGCCCUUACUUCAUUUUAAUUUAGCAACAUACGCAAUAGGUAAUUUAAAAUUUAUAUAUUUACCCCUCUGUAACUGGCUUAUGUAUUUCUAACUUGAUUCUCAACUUUCAAUUAAGUUCUUAUUUUUUGUUUGUUUUUAGAAGUAGUACCAUGUAAUAUUUUCUCUUCGAUUUGUUCAAAAAUUCCUCAAGUGGGUUGGAUAUCCGUUAUUUUUGAACUUUUUAAACAUAAGUGAAGGUAUAUUAGUGUAGAAAAUGUAAUUAUUUUUCUGAGUUAUUGUAAAUUUUUAUAUUUUUUUUAAUUAGAAAAUUUUGAUCAAUUUAAAGGUCAUCUUUUAUUCUAAGAAUGAAGAUUUACCCUCAGCGAAAACCCUGGGGGAAGUUUCCUAAAAGUUUUAAUUUCUUUGAAAGAUUAUUCGUGAGCAAGUUAUAGUUUCCACUGGUCAUCCACCAUUAUUGCAGUUAUCAUUAUUCAAUGGCCGUUUUUAAAUCAAAAGGAACCACACCCAAUGUGAUGUGAGCCUUGUUUUCUAUGUAUUCAGAUUGAUCUCAUGGCUGAGAUGUCUUAGGGAGCUAGUUUCCUUUGAUUUAAAUGUGUACUCACCUACGUCCAGUUGAUCUACUUUAGUCACCGAUAUUAGUUGAGAAAAAAUAAGCGAUGUUUUUUAGUUAAUGUCAGUGUAUUUGUACAGGUAUAAACAUUGUACAAAAUAUUAUUACAAUGUGGAAAGAACUCGUAUUUCAUAAUGAGUACGUAAUUAAAAAUGAGACAAUGAAAAAAGAGGAACAACUGCUGGAAAUAAUGUACCUACUUUCUUGACAGAUGGAUAAUCUAUGAAAUGAAGAAGUUCUUUUUAUGAUGCAGUAAUUGAAGCUUCAGAAAUGGUUUGAAAGGUUCAGAAUGAUUGGAAAAUCAUGGCUCUUAUCCGUAUUGUUUUCUCUUUAAUGUAAGAAAGCAUGACAAUAUUUAUUUCCAUGUAAGUACCUACAAGGAACAGUUCACCAGAAAUAAGUUAGGAGUUCCCAAUGUUCCUUUAUGUAGUGUGAAUUUGUCUCUUGAUCUCUACAUAUUUUUUUUCAACACAGGUGCAAGGCGGAUAAAGAAUG
rnacentral:lncRNA from 1 species